rnacentral:rRNA from 1 species
GCCUAAAACCUAGCCAUGUCUUUACUCGUAUGAUCUCCAUUAACCAACUGCCCAUUAACAAAACAUUUUAACACUCUAGUACAGGCGAUCGAAAAAUUUCUAUAGCGCUUCAGAUUAAGUACCGCAAGGGAACGAUGAAAUAAAAAUGAAAUACUUUAAAGCCAAAAACAGCAGAGAUAUUCCCUCG